rnacentral:rRNA from 1 species
GACGUAGGUGGCGAACGUUAUCCGGAAUUAUUGGGCGUAAAGGGUGCGUAGAUGGUCUGAUAAGUUAGCAGUGGUAAAUCGAGGCCCAACCUCGUGGAAGCUGGUAAUACUGUCAGGCUUGAGUUCAGGAGAGGUUAACGGAACUCCACAUGGAGCGGUAAAAUGCGAAGAUAUGUGGAUGAACACCAAUAACGGCGAAGGCAGUUAACUAUUCUGUUACUGACAUUGAGGCACGAAAGCGUGGGGAGCAAACAGG